rnacentral:rRNA from 1 species
UGGAUCCAGACUUUGAUUAUGGCUCAGGAUGAACGCUAGCUACAGGCUUAACACAUGCAAGUCGAGGGGAAACGAUAUUGGAAGCUUGCUUCCUAUAGGCGUCGACCGGCGCACGGGUGAGUAACGCGUAUCCAACCUGCCCACCACUUGGGGAUAACCUUGCGAAAGUAAGACUAAUACCCAAUGAUAUCUCUAGAAGACAUCUGAAUGAGAUUAAAGAUUUAUCGGUGAUGGAUGGGGAUGCGUCUGAUUAGCUUGUUGGCGGGGUAACGGCCCACCAAGGCGACGAUCAGUAGGGGUUCUGAGAGGAAGGUCCCCCACAUUGGAACUGAGACACGGUCCAAACUCCUACGGGAGGCUGCAGUGAGGAAUAUUGGUCAAUGGGCGAGAGCCUGAACCAGCCAAGUAGCGUGCAGGAUGACGGCCCUAUGGGUUGUAAACUGCUUUUAUAAGGGAAUAAAGUGAGUCUCGUGAGGCUUUUUGCAUGUACCUUAUGAAUAAGGACCGGCUAAUUCCGUGCCAGCAGCCGCGGUAAUACGGAAGGUCCGGGCGUUAUCCGGAUUUAUUGGGUUUAAAGGGAGCGUAGGCUGGAGAUUAAGCGUGUUGUGAAAUGUAGAUGCUCAACAUCUGCACUGCAGCGCGAACUGGUUUCCUUGAGUACGCACAAAGUGGGCGGAAUUCGUGGUGUAGCGGUGAAAUGCUUAGAUAUCACGAAGAACUCCGAUUGCGAAGGCAGCUCACUGGAGCGCAACUGACGCUGAAGCUCGAAAGUGCGGGUAUCGAACAGGAUUAGAUACCCUGGUAGUCCGCACGGUAAACGAUGGAUGCCCGCUGUUGGUCUGAAUAGGUCAGCGGCCAAGCGAAAGCAUUAAGCAUCCCACCUGGGGAGUACGCCGGCAACGGUGCAACUCAAAUGAAUUGACGGA